CUGCUGCCUUCCGUAGGAGUUUGGGCCGUGUCUCAGUCCCAAUGUGGCCGUCCGCCCUCUCAGGCCGGCUACUGAUCGUCGCUUUGGUAGGCCGUUACCCUGCCAACUGGCUAAUCAGACGCGGGUCCAUCGUAUACCACCUCGGUUUUUCACACUGUCCCAUGCGGAACCGUGCGCUUAUGCGGUAUUAGCACCUAUUUCUAAGUGUUAUCCCCCUGUAUACGGCAGGUUACCCACGCGUUACUCACCCGUCCGCCACUAAGUUA
rnacentral:rRNA from 1 species